GGUGGCUAAGUGGUAGAGUGCUUGCCUUGCAUGCAUGAGGCUCUGGGUUCAAUUCCUCAGUACCA
rnacentral:tRNA from 1 species